CCCGAAAUAUUAUGAGCUGUCCCAGCGUUGUUAAGAACUCACUUCAUUUUGUGGAAAUAAAAUAAGAAAACGCAAUGACAGUAGCUACAUACUAAUCGCAUAAUAAGAUAGCUGGUUCUUCCAAAAAGUUAUAUAAGUAACAAAAAUAUAUACAAAUUAUUCUAAUAUAUGGAGGAAAAGCUCUAUAUAACCCCCUAUCAGUAAAAAAUUAAUACCGCCGAGUGGGCUUAAAAAUAGCCACCUAUAAAAAUGUUUUAAUUUUAUCUAGACAAAAAUAAUUCUCAUGCCGAUGACUUAUAUGGUCGAAUGCCCAGCAACUAUAAAUGGACAAAUAAAAUGUUAAAACGAGUAUUAUUAAUUAAAAACCUUACCCAACCGCCGAUAUAGUUUAAAGGAACUCGGCAAACACUUAUUUCGACUGUUUACCAAAAACAUAGCCUCAUGCGAUCUGUUAUAUGAGGUACAUCCUGCCCGGUGAUAUUUAACGGCCGCAGUACCCUGACUGUGCAAAGGUAGCAUAAUCAUUUGCCUUUUAAUUGAAGGCUGGAAUGAAUGGACUCACGAAAAUAAAGCUGUCUCUAAUCUACACAUAAAAACUAGACCUCAAGUGAAAAUACUUGAAUAAAAAUAAAGGACAAAAAGACCCUAUAGAGCUGUAUUUACACGACCUCAUAGACAACAACACACUAUAUUUAAGUUUACGUAAAUUUUGUUGGGGCAACAAAGGAACACACAAAGCUUCCUCUAUUAAAAAGAAAACAACUCUCCAAAAAGAUCCUAACAAGACCAAAGGAAAAAGCUACCUUAGGGAUAACAGACUAAUCUCCCCAGAGAGUUCAAAUUGACGGGAAGGAUUGGCACCUCGAUGUUGGCUUAAGAUACCCUCUAGGUGUAGAAGCUUAGGAAGGUUGGUUUGUUCAACCAUUAAAAUCUUACAUGAGCUGAGUUCAGACCGGCGAAAGCCAGGUUAGUUUCUAUCCUUAUUUAUAAAUUUACUGAGCAGUACGAAAGGACCCUAUAGUAAUAAACACUUUAACACCCUAACUAACAACAAACUAACAAUAGGUUGGCAGACUAGUGCAAUUGACUUAGGAUCAAUGU
rnacentral:rRNA from 1 species